GCAACAGCCCACACAGACCAACAGCAGAUAAAACCAACAGAGGAAUCAGAAGGGAAUGGUACAACAACACACAAUACAGCAAGUAAGACGGAUGCUGGUGGUCCAAUAUUCUCCAUUAAUCCAGAACCUAAACCAGAUCUUCCAACCCCGGGGCAAAAAUCUUUUUCCAUUUAGGACUCUAGUAAUAAACAUUAUUUGUAUAAAUUGUAUCAGUACAACUGAUUACGUUUGUUUUGUGCAUCAACCCCAAAUGUGAAAUAAAAAUUUUAACUUUU